rnacentral:rRNA from 1 species
AGAGUUUGAUCAUGGCUCAGAAUCAACGCUGGCGGCGUGCCUAACACAUGCAAGUCGAACGAGAAAGUGGAGCAAUCCAUGAGUAAAGUGGCGCACGGGUGAGUAACACGUGACUAACCUACCCUUGAGUGGGGAAUAACCUAGGGAAACCUGGGCUAAUACCGCAUAACACCUACGGGUCAAAGGAGCAAUUCGCUUAAGGAGGGGGUCGCGGCAGAUUAGCUAGUUGGCGGGGUAAUGGCCCACCAAGGCGGUGAUCUGUAUCCGGCCUGAGAGGGCGCACGGACACACUGGAACUGAAACACGGUCCAGACUCCUACGGGAGGCAGCAGUGGGGAAUUUUGCGCAAUGGGGGAAACCCUGACGCAGCAACGCCGCGUGGAGGAUGAAGUCCCUUGGGACGUAAACUCCUUUCGAUCGGGACGAUUAUGACGGUACCGGAAGAAGAAGCCCCGGCUAACUUCGUGCCAGCAGCCGCGGUAAUACGAGGGGGGCAAGCGUUGUUCGGAAUUAUUGGGCGUAAAGGGUGCGUAGGCGGUUCGGUAAGUCUUAUGUGAAAUCUUCGGGCUCAACUCGAAGUCUGCAUGAGAAACUGCCGGGCUUGAGUGUGGGAGAGGUGAGUGGAAUUUCCGGUGUAGCGGUGAAAUGCGUAGAUAUCGGAAGGAACACCUGUGGCGAAAGCGGCUCACUGGACCAUAACUGACGCUGAUGCACGAAAGCUAGGGGAGCAAACAGGAUUAGAUACCCUUGUAGUCC